ACACAAACAACCGUUCUCGUCCGACCAUCGUAGUUAAGCCACGUCAAUUCUGGUUAGUACCUGGAUGGGUGACCGCUUGGGAAUAACAGAUGCUGUCAG